GGUUAAGCGACUAAGCGUACACGGUGGAUGCCCUGGCAGUCAGAGGCGAUGAAGGACGUGCUAAUCUGCGAUAAGCGUCGGUAAGGUGAUAUGAACCGUUAUAACCGGCGAUUUCCGAAUGGGGAAACCCAGUGUGAUUCGUCACACUAUCAUUAACUGAAUCCAUAGGUUAAUGAGGCGAACCGGGGGAACUGAAACAUCUAAGUACCCCGAGGAAAAGAAAUCAACCGAGAUUCCCCCAGUAGCGGCGAGCGAACGGGGAGCAGCCCAGAGCCUGAAUCAGUGUGUGUGUUAGUGGAAGCGUCUGGAAAGGCGCGCGAUACAGGGUGACAGCCCCGUACACAAAAAUGCACAUACUGUGAGCUCGAUGAGUAGGGCGGGACACGUGGUAUCCUGUCUGAAUAUGGGGGGACCAUCCUCCAAGGCUAAAUACUCCUGACUGACCGAUAGUGAACCAGUACCGUGAGGGAAAGGCGAAAAGAACCCCGGCGAGGGGAGUGAAAAAGAACCUGAAACCGUGUACGUACAAGCAGUGGGAGCCUCUUAAUGGGGUGACUGCGUACCUUUUGUAUAAUGGGUCAGCGACUUAUAUUCUGUAGCAAGGUUAACCGAAUAGGGGAGCCGAAGGGAAACCGAGUCUUAACUGGGCGUUAAGUUGCAGGGUAUAGACCCGAAACCCGGUGAUCUAGCCAUGGGCAGGUUGAAGGUUGGGUAACACUAACUGGAGGACCGAACCGACUAAUGUUGAAAAAUUAGCGGAUGACUUGUGGCUGGGGGUGAAAGGCCAAUCAAACCGGGAGAUAGCUGGUUCUCCCCGAAAGCUAUUUAGGUAGCGCCUCGUGAAUUCAUCUCCGGGGGUAGAGCACUGUUUCGGCAAGGGGGUCAUCCCGACUUACCAACCCGAUGCAAACUGCGAAUACCGGAGAAUGUUAUCACGGGAGACACACGGCGGGUGCUAACGUCCGUCGUGAAGAGGGAAACAACCCAGACCGCCAGCUAAGGUCCCAAAGUCAUGGUUAAG
rnacentral:rRNA from 1 species